rnacentral:rRNA from 1 species
UUUUGACUGUGCAAAGGUAGCAUAAUAAUUAGUUUUUUAAUUGAGAACUGGUAUGAAUGGUUGAACAAGGAAAAUUCUGUCUCUAUUUUAUUUUUAUUAGAAAUUUAUUUUUAAGUUAAAAAGCUUAGAUUUAUUUAAAAGACGAGAAGACCCUAUAGAGUUUUAUAUAAUUUAUAUAUUAUAAUAUGAAGUAUUUAAUUUUUAUUUUAUAGAUUGUAUUUAGUUGGGGUGACUUAAAAAUAUAAUUAACUUUUUAUUUAUAUAAACAUUUAUUUAUGAAUAUUUGAUCCAUUAUUUAUGAUAAAAGAU